UACGAAGGGGGCUAGCGUUGCUCGGAAUCACUGGGCGUAAAGCGCACGUAGGCGGAUUGUUAAGUCAGGGGUGAAAUCCUGGAGCUCAACUCCAGAACUGCCUUUGAUACUGGCGAUCUUGAGUCCGGGAGAGGUGAGUGGAACUGCGAGUGUAGAGGUGAAAUUCGUAGAUAUUCGCAAGAACACCAGUGGCGAAGGCGGCUCACUGGCCCGGUACUGACGCUGAGGUGCGAAAGCGUGGGAGGCAACAAGG
rnacentral:rRNA from 1 species